UAGAGUUUCGAUCCUGGCUCAGGACGAACGCUGGCGGCGUGCCUAACACAUGCAAGUCGAGCGAAGCACUUGCGACAGAGUCUUUCGGGGCGAAGUUGCAAGUGACUUAGCGGCGGACGGGUGAGUAACGCGUGAGGAACCUACCUCCCACAAGGGGAUAGCCUCGGGAAACCGGGAUUAAUACCCUAUGACACUUAGGUGUCGCAUGACGCCUAGGUUAAAGCGCUUUAGCGGUGGGAGAUGGCCUCACGUCCCAUUAGCUAGUUGGUGAGGUAACGGCUCACCAAGGCGACGAUGGGUAGCCGGCCUGAGAGGGUGACCGGCCACACUGGGACUGAGACACGGCCCAGACUCCUACGGGAGGCAGCAGUGGGGACUAUUGCACAAUGGGCGAAAGCCUGAUGCAGCGACGCCGCGUGAGCGAAGAAGGCCUUCGGGUCGUAAAGCUCUGUCCUAUGGGACGAUAAUGACGGUACCAUAGGAGGAAGCCCCGGCUAACUACGUG
rnacentral:rRNA from 1 species